CAGGGAAUAGUUUAAAUAGAAUGUCAGCUUUGGGUGCUGAUGGCGGGGCUGUAGUUCCUUCCUUGA
rnacentral:tRNA from 1 species